AUGCCGUCUUAGAAACACACGUUCAAAAACAUCUAGUCUCUAUUGCUAAUUGAACAUAAGAAACUCUACAGAGAAUAGAAGACUUUUCUUUUGAGCUUUCAUCAAUGGCAGAUGGGUCUCGAUCUCGAUCUGAAACUGAACAACUGAACCA